CGGGCCCGUCCCGUUUCCCUCGGCCGGGGACGUUCCGGUAAGGAACAGCGGAAAGAGGGUAUAGCGAUGGCAACGAGACGGUAACCGAUAAAACGCCGAGAGGUGACCGUGUUCGCCGCCUGGAAAAGCACCACCAACACAAAACACGUGCUGGCCCGCGACGCAGAGGGCGGCCCGCCCGUUUCGGAACAGAUCUCGGCUAGGAGGGAAAGAAUGAUACGUUUUAAGAAGUUUUUGACAGGAGCCUACGUAGAGCUGUUUGUAUGAGUCUCUGAGGAACGCUGUCAAAAUGAAAGCUGGGAGAAUAUGGUGCAGACAGUUGACGUUGUGAGGGAAGGCACUCCUCCAUCCUGUCUCUCUUUUGGAAUAAUGGCCUGCAGUAUAAAAGUCUGUCAAGCUCUGAGACGCAUUCCUUUUGGGCAGGUGCAAGUUCAACCAAUGCUGCAACCAGACAGACUGGAUCCUGUGAACUAAGAAGAAACGUCUUCAAAAGGUGUAGUAGACACUUUAUAUGCAAGCCUGGUCUUACUCCUAUUUCUACUUCCCUUGGAAAAGAAAACAUGUUUCAUCCCUUCCCAUCUCAGUUUUCCCACAGAAAUGAGAAAAGCACAAAGUAAAAUUCUGACCAAUCUUUACAAAGCAUAAGACUUAAAAUUCUCCCUGCAGCCUGGUAAAUGAACUGUCAACAUCUCUCCUGAGGAAGAAUCUUUUUGAGAACCACCCUUUUACCAGGCAAGGGACACUGCAACCAUUAUAAAGGCUUCUGGUUCCAACUUAAAAUGUCUACAAAUGUUUUGUUUACUGCGAGCAGGAAAAUCAUAACUUUUAAUCAUGUACUUUUGGGGUUUUUUUCAGUGUCCAUGCAUUUCCACAUCAAAGUUCUGGUCUUACUUUGCAGAAAUUAUCUUGUUUGGCCAAAGGACCAGCAGUACCUACAAGUUGCUUUCUCGGGUAAGUGAGGUUCUGUGAAAGCCCUCAUGACUUUGGAAUUCCUGAGAAGAGAAUUUGGAGUUGAUGCAGAACCCAAAUUAUUUAUUUCCAGAUAUGUUGUCUUUGUGAAGCAUGCUUUAAUUCUGUUGACGAUUUCCGAAAGGUUUUGUGCUCUUUUGUUGGUAUGAAUUCUAACGCGUGUUGUUCUGAAUUACGUUCUACUUGGUAUUUAAACCAUGAAGAAAUACCCUUUAUCUUUACAAAUUUAAGCCACUAUCAGUUAACGUUUAUUCAACUUCUAAAUAUUAAAAAAUGAAGACUUGCUAUUGUA